rnacentral:rRNA from 1 species
UACGUAGGGUGCGAGCGUUAAUCGGAAUUACUGGGCGUAAAGCGUGCGCAGGCGGUUUUUUAAGCCAGAUGUGAAAGCCCCGGGCUCAACCUGGGAAUGGCAUUUGGGACUGCAAGGCUGGAGUUUGGCAGAGGAGACUGGAAUUCCUGGUGUAGCAGUGAAAUGCGUAGAUAUCAGGAGGAAUACCGAUGGCGAAGGCAGGUCUCUGGGCUAUAACUGACGCUCAUGCACGAAAGCGUGGGGAGCGAACAGG